AAAGACACACACAUUUCCAAUCACCCGCUUGAUAAUGUGUGUUUCUUUAUUUUAAUCUUGACCAUUAAAUAUGAUUAAUCAAGGGCUCUUGUUUACUAUCCUCAACUUAUUCUCUCCUCCAAUCAAAUAAUCAGAAAUAAAAAAAAAAAUUUAAAAAAAAAUUAAGGAUAGUAAACUUGAGCCUUUGAUUAUUCAUAUUCAAUGGCCAAGAUUAAAAGAAAGAGACAUAU
rnacentral:lncRNA from 1 species